rnacentral:rRNA from 1 species
GUGGGGAAUAUUGGACAAUGGGCGAAAGCCUGAUCCAGCCAUGCCGCGUGUGUGAAGAAGGUCUUCGGAUUGUAAAGCACUUUAAGUUGGGAGGAAGGGCAGUAAGUUAAUACCUUGCUGUUUUGACGUUACCGACAGAAUAAGCACCGGCUAACUUCGUGCCAGCAGCCGCGGUAAUACGAAGGGUGCAAGCGUUAAUCGGAAUUACUGGGCGUAAAGCGCGCGUAGGUGGUUUUGUAAGUUGGAGGUGAAAUCCCCGGGCUCAACCUGGGAACUGCCUCCAAAACUGAAUGACUAGAGUACGGUAGAGGGUAGUGGAAUUUCCUGUGUAGCGGUGAAAUGCGUAGAUAUAGGAAGGAACACCAGUGGCGAAGGCGACUACCUGGACUGAUACUGACACUGAGGUGCGAAAGCGUGGGGAGCAAACAGGAUUAGAAACCCCAGUAGUCC